UGACAUUGUUCAACGGCCGCGGUAUCCUAACCGUGCGAAGGUAGCGUAAUCACUUGUUCUUUAAAUGAGGACUAGUAUGAAUGGCUUCACGAAAGCUAUACUGUCUCCUUUAUCCAAUCAGUUAAACUAAUCUCCCCGUGAAGAAGCGGGGAUACUUCUAUAAGACGAGAAGACCCUAUGGAGCUUUAAACUCUAAACAUUUGAACCACACAUACAACUUUCAGAAAAAUUCAUUAAACUAAUCAUUUUGUCCUAGGUUUUAGGUUGGGGUGACCAAGGAGAAAAAAUCAACCUCCACGUAGAAAGAAGCUACCUUCUAAGCAAAAAGCUACACCUUUAUGCAUCAACAUAUUGACCUAAAUUGACCCAAUUAUUUGAUCAACGAACCAAGUUACCCUAGGGAUAACAGCGCAAUCCGCUUUAAGAGCUCCUAUCGACAGGCGGGCUUACGACCUCGAUGUUGGAUCAGGGUAUCCUAGUGGUGCAGCAGCUACUAACGGUUCGUUUGUUCAACGAUUAAAACCCUACGUGAUCUGAGUU
rnacentral:rRNA from 1 species